UGGCUCCUGUAAGUCAUUUUACUUUGAAUAUAUAGGAAACAAAAUCCACAAACAGGAAGCUAUGUUCUAUGGUUAUGUCUUUUAAACAAUGUUCUGUAUUUACAAAUUGUUUUUUUCCCUAAGUAAAAGCACCAGCUGAAAAGUUAUAGGCUGCUAAAACCGUUACAAAUAUUACAAACCCAUUAAAAGACAUUAUGCCAAACGUACUUAUUAAAAACCUUAACAAAACGAAGAGACAACUGACAACGCAACCAACCAAUUGAGCCACCAUGCUGGGCUGGGUGGCAGUUCCAAUUUCCUUGCCUGUGUUUCUGAUAAACGGGGCUGGGAGUGCUUAUCCCAGGGAGAGGAUCCUCGCCCACCGGCAGGUGACUACAGGGACAGAGCUGGGGAGAGGCAGCUGUGUCUCAAGGAAACAUGGCAGCCUCACUUCCUGCUGUAGGUGGCCUCCUGGUCAGACCCCCUCAACCCACAGGACAAGGGCAGAGGCAUACAGGAGGGUCUGGCCAGCUUUCGGCUGUUCAUCUGUCAACAGAAUGCCUUUCUGCGACCUUGUCCUCAUCCACUGAAGGGUUUGGAGUUUUUGUUUUUUCCUAGACACUUAGCUACAGGACACUGUGUGAUGUGUCCUCAGGGACUUGCUGUCUGCCUUCCAUUGUUUUUUUUUUUUUUUUUGAGACAAAGUCUCACCGUCACCCAGGCUGGAGUGCAGUGUCGCGAUCAUGCUCACUGCAGCCUCAAUCUCCUGGGCUCAAGUGAUCCUCCUGCCUCAGCCUCCCAGUUAGCUGGGACUACAGGCAUGCGCCACCGUGUCUGGCCUCUAUUCUUGCAAUUGAAUGAGAUGCUAUGAGGCGCUGAGCGACCCACAGGAAAGUACUUAUCAAAAGCUUUGUGUCAUGAGAAGAUGCGGCUGUGGAAGGAGGAUCACUUGAGCCCAGGAGUUUGGGGCUGCAGGAGCUAAGAUUGCGCCACUGCACUCCAGCCUGGGUGACAGAGUGAGACUUUAUC
rnacentral:lncRNA from 10 species